CUGAAUUUACUUGCUUCAUUGUUAGAAAAGCUUCUGUUGAGGACUUUGUGAGGCUUCCCUGAAAAUUUGAGGUUAAUGAGAUAUUAGGGUGCUGACUUUUGUUAAAGGGGAAAGGGAAAUGGAAAGGGAAGGGAGAGGAGAGGAAAAGGAAAUGGAAAAAGAAAAAGGAAAAAAAGAAGGAUGAAGGGGGAAAGGGCUGGCGGAUAAACACAAGUGCCAGGAAGGAGAGGAGAAAAAUAAGAGAAUCUCCAGCCUUUUAAUUUAGUUUGUACGUGUGUUAAUGCUCCAGAAAAUCAGUUCUUUAACAGUCUUUCAUUCUCAGAGUGCUUAAAUGGCACCCUGCCUGAAGUGAACCAGAAAAUUGCUGACUUGGAAUGAGAACCAGAAAGAUACCAUAGCAUUAACCCGGUGACUACAGACAAGAAAAAUCUGGUGCUGCAGUAUCAUCUGGUAGUUCAGUUAAGCAGUAUUUGCUUCUUCCAGGGCCCAUGCUGUAAGAACAGUGGCUUCUGGUCCCAUGUACUACAGUCUGUGUACUGGAAAUUAGUGAUUUUUUAGUAUUGCAGUGGGAAGGGAUAGGGGGAACCCCAAUGCCCUUAAAGCUGAAAGAAAAACUUGCAGUACUUUAUGAAGUAGUUGUGGUUUCUGUCAGCAUUUAACAUCCAUGUGUGUGAGCACAUAUAUUAGGUAAGGAAGAUGAAAAGAAGAAGGGCCGGAAGUGAAAUGAGGACAAGAACCCUGGAGGAAAUGCUGGGAGAAUGUAGAGUUACAAUUCUGAACUGGAUAAAAACCUGUAGCUAACAUAGGUUUCAAACACCAUACAGGGCAGCGAGGAACUGAGCGCUUUUGUGGGCUUUUUUAGUUGUUAAAUGCACUGAAAAAUUUUGAAUUUCCAAACAAAUACUGAGACCUGAACAGCUCCAGAUGAGAGAAUCACCUCCCUGAGAUGCUCAAAGACAAAGGCACAUAUGUUUCCUCUACAAAUGCUUCAGGGGGUUGUUAUUGAGGGGGGAAAAAAAAUGAUGCUAAGCUCUGGUCAGGACGUGCCCUGCCUGUAACACAGGGGUCGUAAUCUUCACCUUCCUAGGAGGAACCUCUACAUUUCAGAACAGCUGUGUGCCUGAGUUCUGCUUGGACUAAGCAGGAUUACUACUGUAGUAAUACAUUGGAAAACUAAGCUGUCUGGUUUAUCUAGGGUCUCACAGUGAUUCUCCAAUCAGAGGGAAGCCCUGACAGCUCCUUUCCCUGAGGCAGAGACUCGGAAAAGGCCAGGCCGCCCAUCCCUGCCUUGGUGUGCAAGGUGAACGCACAGCCCUGUGUGCCUGGUUGCUGUGUGCACAGAUGCUAACGUGUGCACAGCCUCACCGUUGGUAGGGCUUGGGAAUCAGGAGUUCAGAAAGCUUCUCCAGGAGUUUGAGAGCAAGAGAAAGAGGUUCAGCAUCUGAUUUUUUUGUGUGUGGGAUUCGCCUCAAGGAUCGUUCCUUCUUUGCAUGUUUUUACUACAUUUCAUUUCUUGCCAGACUUCAUUUCCUCAAAAAAAAUUAAAAUAAUUUUUUUUAAAUGCUGUGGAAUUUCCUCACUGCACCAACCAUCCUGGCUAUUCUAGCAGGAGCUCUUCAUGGUUACUUCUCCACUUACAUCAGCCAGCUGAAGAAACACAAGAACAGCUGCUUCACCGCACUGCAAAGAAUGCUGCUUUCCUCCUGCUUGGCUGUGGCAGAUUCCACCACCAGGAGGCUCUCAUUAAAGCACAUCUAACCAGGCAAAGAGAACGCAAGAAAAUGAGAUGGAGAAACCCAUCCCCACGGGAAUAAUCUGAAACUAAUACUUAUCCUAUAAAUAGAGAUUUUCGGACUGCUGUGCAGGCAUCUAUUAAUUAACUCUUGCAGGAAUCCUAAUAUACAACCAUCAGUUGUACCAUAGUUUUUGAGGAUACUGGGGUGUCAUGGGUGGUAUCCCAGCAUUGAAUCACUUAGUGAUACCCAGGAAAGUUGAUACCUCUGUCUUCUGGAUAGUAAAGCUCUUAAUACAGUAAGUAAAAUAAUUAAAUGGAGGAAAAGCACUGUUUUGAUUUCUCCUCCCUCACGUCUGCCCUCUAUCUUUCACCCAAGGAAUGAUCUAAAUUACCUCUGCCUUCUCACUUUUAGUUACUUAUGCUUGGCUUCUUAAUUUUCUUUCACUUUUCACAGCAGGCUUUGAUUGUCUCCUAAAAGUUCUAAAUAUCUACACUAACAGUCCAUCUGAUUCUUCUCUUUUGCUAACAUGACCUUCUUUAAAGAAAAGCAGAAGAAGAAAUGUUUUGAGGCCAUGAUGUUCUAUGUAGAGUUCCCAGGCCUCCAAAGAGGUUUUCCAAUCGUUGCUCACCAUUCUUGCCACACUGUUCACCUUUAAGAGUUUAAGCAAACAGACAUGUUGUUCAGCCACUCACAUACUCUGGAUAGAAUCCAUUGUUUCCUGACAGAGUUUGCCACGAGGUUGUCCUCAGUGACCGGGAGACUGGUGGUUCAGAGGACACGUGAAGUCCACACAGCAGUCAAAGCUUCUGUUAAGCUCUGUCUCACUUUGUUCCUAUUACCUGGCUUCUCCUUGCUUGCUUCCUGUCUUUCUUCUAAUUCUUACUUUCACAGUCAUCUCUUUCUAUGGAUCACUUAAGAUGUCCUUUGCAGGAAAUGCUGAAACACGAAGCCUCCAGCCUGUAGAUUCCCAAUUAGCAGAUGCAAGGAGGUUAUACCAGGGAAAGGAUCACUCUGUGUGGGUUGGUUUCUUCUUGUAACACUCCACAGCUGCCUGCUGCUGGACACAAGACAUUCGGCCUUUGGGCUGCGUCGCUGUGGGAUUUAUGUGGGAGAGCAAAUGGCCUGCUUUCUGAAUGCCCUUCUAAGCUUAUUUUAUCUCAUGCCUUAGACAAAUAUCAACUGUUCUUUUCCUGUAGAAACAAGUGAUGCUGCAUUAUGAGAAAAUGUGAAGCUUCGUGCAUAUAGCACACUAUGAAGGUGUAAGGGAAGUGCUAAGUAUUCUUUUCUCUUCCAUGUUCUUUCACCAUUCCUUCUUUCUCUCCACUUAGGCACAGUACCAGCCCCAAGAAGCUACAUUGACUGGGACUAUUCCCAGUUGAAACCAGAAAUAUUCAAGAAGAGCAAUCUGAUGUCACCAGAGGGAGAGCUGUGAGAACACCGAUGUAGGCCUCUCUCCCUAGGUCCUGCUAAUCUAAAUAAGAGUGUAGUAACCAGACUGUGUGAUGGUUUUUCUCCUCAGGAUGCCUUGAUCUGCAGGUCUUACUCUAUGCUGAUUAUUUCUGUUAGGAAGGUGUGCCUGUGGAUGGCCUUUUGUGGGAAACUGCCCCCCUGUACCGGCUUGCAACACCUUUUAUCAAAGGCAAACAUUGGAAAUAAUGUGGGCUUUUGAUGAUGUGUCUGCAGUGGCAUGAGAAUGGACUCUGUGGCCCAGGAAGUCCUUUCCAGUCCUGGGAAUGUGCUGCAAGCUCAUAGGCAGAUGAGGUGACUUUUCAGACUUCUGGGGAAUGCAGAUGGCUGCUCACCCGUGGCCUGAACUAGCCUGGUGUAAAAGCUAUUCAGGGACACCAGGAGAUUUAGAAUCCAUUCCUAUGAGACCUGCAAAAGCCAGGUACUGUAGUACUUAGAGUAGUAAAUGGGAGAUUUCAUUGUUUUGGUUUGGUUCCCCUUUCUUAAUUCUGAGUUGUUACCUGAGGUAGCAAGGGAUGAAAAUAAGAGACAUAUUAGGACCAGGUAGAAGGUGGCCUUGAUAGAUCAACAGCUGUAAAGACGUGGAUGGUGUCAGUGUGUUCAACAGCAGUAAAGCAGUAUCUUCACUGGUUCUCAAGGGAAAAAGAACCCUGAAAAUACAAAUUUUGAAUUUGCAUUGAACGCACAAGCAAAACUGAGGGCACUCUCUCUGCACAAACUUGGUUCAAAGUCUUGGAUUUCAAACUUAUUAACUGUGUUUUCAUGUCACCUCCCUUCCUCAGAUUCCUUCACAAUGACAAGCAGACCAGAGAAGACUGGACAAGAAUGUGAGAUAAAUAUAGGUUCACCAAGAUGUGCAGCCAGCCAGUGGAUGUGUCACAGAAGCUAAAGCUUUCAUUAAGUAUCCGUUGCUGACUGCUUCAUCUUGUUCCUAUUACUAAAAAGUUUGUUGCUUGGGAUUUUUUUAUCAGUUUGCCAGAUGACAGGGAAAAGGAGUUUUUCCUUAAUGGUUCAGAAAUAAUUCCUCAAAGUUAUCAGCAAUCUUCUCCUUUUGUAAGUUUGCUGGUUAGGGAUUCUUGCUCACUUGCAGGUCAUCAUUCCACAGGCAACACUCACUGUCUGUAUUGUACUCUCCAGCCAGGAUACAGCAGACAUUUCCUUUAGAAAAGUACUAAGCAAAGAACGUGCCACAGGGAAAAUGAUACUUCACUUUGAUUUAUGCACUAAGUGCUUAAAUGUUAUGAAGAAUUCUUUUUUUUUAAUGUUACUGGGAGGGAAGGGGUGUCAUAUUUAGCAACUAGCUCCUAGCUCACACAUCUAUGUAAUUCAAUUCAUUUUGGAAAUAAAAGCUGAUGAAAAUCUGA